rnacentral:rRNA from 1 species
AGUGGCGCACGGGUGCGUAACGCGUAUACAAUCUACCUUUUACUGGGGGAUAGCCUUUGGAAACGAAGAAUAAUACCCCAUAGUAUCUAAAUUUCGCAUGAUAAUUAGAUUAAAGUUUCGGCGGUAAGAGAUGAGUAUGCGUUCUAUUAGCUAGAUGGUGUGGUAACGGCACACCAUGGCAACGAUAGAUAGGGGCCCUGAGAGGGGGAUCCCCCACACUGGUACUGAGACACGGACCAGACUCCUACGGGAGGCAGCAGUGAGGAAUAUUGGACAAUGGGCGAAAGCCUGAUCCAGCCAUGCCGCGUGCAGGAAGACUGCCCUAUGGGUUGUAAACUGCUUUUAUACGGGAAGAAACCCAUCUACGUGUAGGUGGCUGACGGUACCGUAAGAAUAAGCAUCGGCUAACUCCGUGCCAGCAGCCGCGGUAAUACGGAGGAUGCAAGCGUUAUCCGGAAUCAUUGGGUUUAAAGGGUCCGUAGGUGGAUUAGUAAGUCAGAGGUGAAAGCCUGCAGCUCAACUGUAGAACUGCCUUUGAUACUGCUAGUCUUGAAUUAUUGUGAAGUGGUUAGAAUAUGUAGUGUAGCGGUGAAAUGCAUAGAUAUUACA